AACGAACGCUGGCGGCGUGCUUAACACAUGCAAGUCGAACGCGAAAGGGGGCAACCCCCGGUAGCGUGGCAGACGGGUGAGUAACGCGUGGGCAACCUGCCCGGAGGUGGGGGAUAACCCCUCGAAAGGGGGGAUAAUACCGCAUGACACCCCGGGGACCUCGGUCCUCGGGAUCCAAGCUGGCCCCUGUUUACAAGCUAGCGCCACCGGAUGGGCCCGCGUCCCAUUAGCUAGUUGGUGAGGUAACGGCCCACCAAGGCUACGAUGGGUAGCCGGCCUGAGAGGGCGACCGGCCACACUGGAACUGAGACACGGUCCAGACUCCUACGGGAGGCAGCAGUGAGGAAUCUUGCGCAAUGGGCGAAAGCCUGACGCAGCGACGCCGCGUGGAGGAUGAAGGUCUUCGGAUCGUAAACUCCUGUCGAGCGGGACGAAACCCGGGAGGGAUAACACUCCUUCCGGUUGACGGUACCGCUGGAGGAAGCCCCGGCUAACUCCGUGCCAGCAGCCGCCGUAAUAC
rnacentral:rRNA from 1 species